AUGAUCGUGUCUGCGAAUUCGCUCAGUGCUCUUAAUCAUUAUAUAGCCUAUCUACUAGUAGUACGAGGCGAGUUGCUGGAGUUGACGGCAGUAGUUGUGGACGGAUUUGUCGCCGCGGACGCAGGCGCGGAACUGCUGGCUCAGAUGGAGUCGGCGCCCAGCUUGCUUGUCGAAGAAAUAGUCAUGGAGCCGCGACCAGAUCAAGUACGCCGAGGACUCCGGUGGUGCGACGAUGUCGAGGAGCUCCCCCUCGACGGUGGCCAGGAACUAGAGCAUGAUCGUGUUGUCCACGUCGCGCCAGUCGGGAUCAGCGAGCCGGGAGUCCGGCCCCUUCUGGACGUGGUCCUGGGCGAGGAGGAAGCUGAUGACCUUGCGCCAGCGGUUGAAGUUGACGGCACCUAG
rnacentral:rRNA from 1 species